rnacentral:piRNA from 1 species
UUAAUGGCUCUGAGAUCAUGCAAUAGCGUC